rnacentral:snRNA from 1 species
CCCAAAAGCUCCACUAGGGAUUUACUAAAUUGGAACGAUACAGAGAAGAUUAGUAUUGCUCCUGCGCAA